AUACGGAGGAUGCGAGCGUUAUCCGGAUUUAUUGGGUUUAAAGGGUGCGUAGGCUGUGCGUUAAGUCAGGGGUGAAAUGCCGUCGCUCAACGACGGAGCUGCCCUUGAUACUGGCGUGCUGGAGUACGGAUGCCGUUGGAGGAAUGAGUGGUGUAGCGGUGAAAUGCUUAGAUAUCACUCAGAACACCGAUUGCGAAGGCAUCUGACGAAUCCGUCACUGACGCUGAGGCACGAACGCGUGGGGAUAGAACAGGAUUAGAUACCCUGGUAUUCCACGCCGUAAACGAUGAUGACUAACCGUCGGCGAUAGACAGCCGGUGGCCAAGCGAAAGCGAUAAGUCAUCCACCUGGGGAGUACGUCGGCAACGAUGAAACUCAAAGGAAUUGACGGGG
rnacentral:rRNA from 1 species